GCUCGGAUAGUAUAACGGUUAGUACUUUGGUCUGAUACGCCAAUAAUGGAGAUUCAACUUCUCCUCCGAGUA
rnacentral:tRNA from 1 species